GACGAACGCUGGCGGCGUGCUUAACACAUGCAAGUCGAACGGAAAGGCCUCUUUCGGGGGGUACUCGAGUGGCGAACGGGUGAGUAACACGUGAGUAACCUGCCCUUGACUUUGGGAUAACUUCAGGAAACUGGGGCUAAUACCGGAUAGGAGCUCCUGCUGCAUGGUGGGGGCUGGAAAGUUUCGGCGGUCGGGGAUGGACUCGCGGCUUAUCAGCUUGUUGGUGGGGUAGUGGCUUACCAAGGCUUUGACGGGUAGCCGGCCUGAGAGGGUGACCGGCCACAUUGGGACUGAGAUACGGCCCAGACUCCUACGGGAGGCAGCAGUGGGGAAUAUUGCACAAUGGGUGGAAGCCUGAUGCAGCAACGCCGUGUGCGGGAUGACGGCCUUCGGGUUGUAAACCGCUUUCGCUCAUGACGAAGCUUUGUGUGACGGUAGUGGGUAAAGAAGCACCGGCUAACUACGUG
rnacentral:rRNA from 1 species